rfam:Dipodomys ordii contig_50601, whole genome shotgun sequence.
UGGAAUGUGGCUCAGUGGUAGAGUGCUUGCCUAGCAUGCAUGAAGCCCUGGGUUCGAUUUCCUCAGUACCAC